AUGCAAUCAGCAGCCAUGGAGAGUUUGAUCCAAGUACUUAAUGAGUGGGAAAUACAGUUGCUAGUGCUCCUCAGUUUUACACUACAAGUGUUCCUCUUAUUUAUUGGUGGCCUUCGGCGACGUAGCACCAAUGCGUUGCUUAGGUUUUCUAUGUGGGUAGCAUACCUUGGGGCAGAUUUGGUAGCAAUAUAUGCUUUGGGGUUCCUCUCGCGGCACAAGGAUGACACCCAGGGAAAAGAUACAUUAAGGGAAGCACAUCCACUUGCUUUCCUCUGGGCACCUUUCCUCCUCAUGCAUCUUGGGGGACAGGACACUGUCACUGCAUUUGCCAUUGAGGACAAUAACUUGUGGUUAAGGCAUCUAUUGAAUCUGGUGGUCCAAGUCGGUGUGGCCUUGUAUGUCUUCUGGGCGGGUCAUCUCUACCAUAGUAUGCAUCUUCCAGGCAUAUUUGUGUUUAUUGCUGGAAUUAUCAAGUAUGGGGAGAGGACGUUGGCGCUUAUGUACGGGGAACUAAAGAAUGCUAGCCACAAUAGCAAUGAAAAUGAAAACAAUGAGGACUUGAAUAGGCUUGCGGAUCAAAGCUAUCUUGGCAUUUUUGCAUCUGCUUUGAAGUCAGCACCAAGUAUCCGAGAGAUCUUUGCUGGACACACCUUGCACCAGAUGGAACCUCACCACCGAGAUAUACUGACUUCCGGUAUUAAUAUGGAUCACUUGCCCAAGUUGCUGGAGGUUGAGCUAGACUUGAUGUAUGAUGACAUCUACACCAAGGCCAUGGUGCUUCGUACAAGGACUGGCAUUAUACUCCGGUGUGUAUCUCAAGUACUUAUGGGGGUUUCUUUUGUUCUCUUCAUUGUUGGAUUAGUCAAGAACAAGCACAUAUAUAGUAGAGCGGACAAUCACAUAUGCACUAUUCACAGGAGGUUUUUGUCUAGAAGUUUGUGCAGUAUUUGUAUUGUUGAUGUCACCAUGGACAUGGGCAUGGUUGGAGGUUCGAGGCUAUCGAGGGCUCGCUCGCAUCUCCUCCUUUCUUCUGUCCAGCAAGUUUGGACGGCCCAUGAGAAGACCGCUGUGGUCGAAUUCCAUGGGACAGUACAACUUUAUGUGCUACAUGGGUUGUGA
rnacentral:rRNA from 1 species